rnacentral:rRNA from 1 species
UAAGCGACUAAGCGUACACGGUGGAUGCCCUGGCAGUCAGAGGCGAUGAAGGACGUGCUAAUCUGCGAUAAGCGUCGGUAAGGUGAUAUGAACCGUUAUAACCGGCGAUUUCCGAAUGGGGAAACCCAGUGUGAUUCGUCACACUAUCAUUAACGAAUCCAUAGGUUAAUGAGGCGAACCGGGGGAACUGAAACAUCUAAGUACCCCGAGGAAAAGAAAUCAACCGAGAUUCCCCCAGUAGCGGCGAGCGAACGGGGAGGAGCCCAGAGCCUGAAUCAGUGUGUGUGUUAGUGGAAGCGUCUGGAAAGGCGCGCGAUACAGGGUGACAGCCCCGUACACAAAAAUGCACAUGCUGUGAGCUCGAUGAGUAGGGCGGGACACGUGGUAUCCUGUCUGAAUAUGGGGGGACCAUCCUCCAAGGCUAAAUACUCCUGACUGACCGAUAGUGAACCAGUACCGUGAGGGAAAGGCGAAAAGAACCCCGGCGAGGGGAGUGAAAAAGAACCUGAAACCGUGUACGUACAAGCAGUGGGAGCACAGAGCAAUCUGUGUGACUGCGUACCUUUUGUAUAAUGGGUCAGCGACUUAUAUUCUGUAGCAAGGUUAACCGAAUAGGGGAGCCGAAGGGAAACCGAGUCUUAACUGGGCGUUAAGUUGCAGGGUAUAGACCCGAAACCCGGUGAUCUAGCCAUGGGCAGGUUGAAGGUUGGGUAACACUAACUGGAGGACCGAACCGACUAAUGUUGAAAAAUUAGCGGAUGACUUGUGGCUGGGGGUGAAAGGCCAAUCAAACCGGGAGAUAGCUGGUUCUCCCCGAAAGCUAUUUAGGUAGCGCCUCGUGAAUUCAUCUCCGGGGGUAGAGCACUGUUUCGGCAAGGGGGUCAUCCCGACUUACCAACCCGAUGCAAACUGCGAAUACCGGAGAAUGUUAUCACGGGAGACACACGGCGGGUGCUAACGUCCGUCGUGAAGAGGGAAACAACCCAGACCGCCAGCUAAGGUCCCAAAGUCAUGGUUAAGUGGGAAACGAUGUGGGAAGGCCCAGACAGCCAGGAUGUUGGCUUAGAAGCAGCCAUCAUUUAAAGAAAGCGUAAUAGCUCACUGGUCGAGUCGGCCUGCGCGGAAGAUGUAACGGGGCUAAACCAUGCACCGAAGCUGCGGCAGCGACACUGUGUGUUGUUGGGUAGGGGAGCGUUCUGUAAGCCUGUGAAGGUGUGCUGUGAGGCAUGCUGGAGGUAUCAGAAGUGCGAAUGCUGACAUAAGUAACGAUAAAGCGGGUGAAAAGCCCGCUCGCCGGAAGACCAAGGGUUCCUGUCCAACGUUAAUCGGGGCAGGGUGAGUCGACCCCUAAGGCGAGGCCGAAAGGCGUAGUCGAUGGGAAACAGGUUAAUAUUCCUGUACUUGGUGUUACUGCGAAGGGGGGACGGAGAAGGCUAUGUUGGCCGGGCGACGGUUGUCCCGGUUUAAGCGUGUAGGCUGGUUUUCCAGGCAAAUCCGGAAAAUCAAGGCUGAGGCGUGAUGACGAGGCACUACGGUGCUGAAGCAACAAAUGCCCUGCUUCCAGGAAAAGCCUCUAAGCAUCAGGUAACAUCAAAUCGUACCCCAAACCGACACAGGUGGUCAGGUAGAGAAUACCAAGGCGCUUGAGAGAACUCGGGUGAAGGAACUAGGCAAAAUGGUGCCGUAACUUCGGGAGAAGGCACGCUGAUAUGUAGGUGAAGUCCCUCGCGGAUGGAGCUGAAAUCAGUCGAAGAUACCAGCUGGCUGCAACUGUUUAUUAAAAACACAGCACUGUGCAAACACGAAAGUGGACGUAUACGGUGUGACGCCUGCCCGGUGCCGGAAGGUUAAUUGAUGGGGUCAGCGCAAGCGAAGCUCUUGAUCGAAGCCCCGGUAAACGGCGGCCGUAACUAUAACGGUCCUAAGGUAGCGAAAUUCCUUGUCGGGUAAGUUCCGACCUGCACGAAUGGCGUAAUGAUGGCCAGGCUGUCUCCACCCGAGACUCAGUGAAAUUGAACUCGCUGUGAAGAUGCAGUGUACCCGCGGCAAGACGGAAAGACCCCGUGAACCUUUACUAUAGCUUGACACUGAACAUUGAGCCUUGAUGUGUAGGAUAGGUGGGAGGCUUUGAAGUGUGGACGCCAGUCUGCAUGGAGCCGACCUUGAAAUACCACCCUUUAAUGUUUGAUGUUCUAACGUGGACCCGUGAUCCGGGUUGCGGACAGUGUCUGGUGGGUAGUUUGACUGGGGCGGUCUCCUCCUAAAGAGUAACGGAGGAGCACGAAGGUUGGCUAAUCCUGGUCGGACAUCAGGAGGUUAGUGCAAUGGCAUAAGCCAGCUUGACUGCGAGCGUGACGGCGCGAGCAGGUGCGAAAGCAGGUCAUAGUGAUCCGGUGGUUCUGAAUGGAAGGGCCAUCGCUCAACGGAUAAAAGGUACUCCGGGGAUAACAGGCUGAUACCGCCCAAGAGUUCAUAUCGACGGCGGUGUUUGGCACCUCGAUGUCGGCUCAUCACAUCCUGGGGCUGAAGUAGGUCCCAAGGGUAUGGCUGUUCGCCAUUUAAAGUGGUACGCGAGCUGGGUUUAGAACGUCGUGAGACAGUUCGGUCCCUAUCUGCCGUGGGCGCUGGAGAACUGAGGGGGGCUGCUCCUAGUACGAGAGGACCGGAGUGGACGCAUCACUGGUGUUCGGGUUGUCAUGCCAAUGGCACUGCCCGGUAGCUAAAUGCGGAAGAGAUAAGUGCUGAAAGCAUCUAAGCACGAAACUUGCCCCGAGAUGAGUUCUCCCUGACCCUUUAAGGGUCCUGAAGGAACGUUGAAGACGACGACGUUGAUAGGCCGGGUGUGUAAGCGCAGCGAUGCGUUGAGCUAACCGGUACUAAUGAACCGUGAGGCUUAACCU